GUGCCAGCAGCCGCGGUAAUACGGAGGGUGCAAGCAUUAAUCGGAUUUAUUGGGCGUAAAGGGGGCGUAGGCGGAAAUAAAAGUCAGGCGUGAAAUUACGAGGCUCAACCUCGUAGCCGCACCUGAAACUCUAUUUCUAGAGGAUGGACGGAGAAAACGGAAUUCCACAAGUAGCGGUGAAAUGCGUAGAUAUGUGGAAGAACACCUGUGGCGAAGGCGGUUUUCUAGUUUAGACCUGACGCUAAGGCCCGAAAGCGAGGGGAGCAAACAGGAUUAGAUACCCUGGUAGUCCUCGCCGUAAACGAUGUAUACCUGGUGUAGUCGGACUCAACCCUGACUGUGCCGAAGCUAACGCGAUAAGUAUACCGCCUGGGGAGUACGCUCGCAAGGGUGAA
rnacentral:rRNA from 1 species